UACAGAGGGGGCAAGCGUUGCUCGGUAUCACUGGGCUUAAAGGGCGCGUAGGCGGUGCGGUGCGGUUUCGGUGAAAUCCCUCGGCCCAACCGAGGAACAGCCGGAGCAACGGUCGCGCUAGACGGCAUCAGGGGACAGUGGAACUCCCGGUGGAGCGGUGAAAUGCGUAGAUAUCGGGAGGAACGCCGGUGGCGAAAGCGACUGUCUGGGGUGCAUGUGACGCUGAGGCGCGAAAGCCAGGGGAGCAAACGGG
rnacentral:rRNA from 1 species